CUCCGGUGAUGACCUCUUUUGGACCGCUGUGUCUGGGCCGCUGACGGGUGAUACCCCUCGAUGAAGCUGAGGAUCUGAGGGG